CAUCUAGGUAGUCUUUGUUAAUGAUUUGUUUAUCUGUGAAUGCUAGUUAGUUCUUUCAAUUACCUAAUACUUGCUCAUCUAUUCUGUUUUUCAUUCUAGUUGCUAAGUUUCAUAUAUCUUCUUGUUGGUUCUUUCUGAUUCCUAGUACUUGAUAUUAGAAUGAUUCCUCCACAGUCCAUGACAUCUUGUGAUGUAAUGAUGAUCAGUAAGACUUGAGUAAUGAUUUGCAACUGGAGAAAUCGAUUGAAAUGAUUCAUGUAUUUAAAGUCUCAUUUCAGGAUGCUAUUGUGAAGGUGUAAAAAGAUUUGUAUAUGUAUCAGCUGCUGAUUUUGGUCCCGUGAAUUAUAUCCUGCAAGGGUAUUUUGAGGGAAAGGAAUAAUUCUCAAACCGGGUUUCGUAUAUGGAACACGGAAAGUUGGGAGUAUGAAGAUACCUCUAGGACUAAUAGGAUCACCAUUAGAGAAGGUAGAACCCAUCGUCUCUCCAUUUGGACGGCAAGAGAAACUGAAACUUGAACUCACCUAUGUUUUGAGUUGAUCUACAGAUUCUCCAGCAUGCAAAGCCACUAAGUAGCAUCCCAGUUGUUGGUCCCCUCUUGACACCUCCAGUAAAGAAAGAAGAAAAAUUGGCUAUGCCUCAGCAUGGAAUUUGCGACACGGUUCAGACUCCAAUGGUUCUUCUUUGAAAAUCCCUUCUUCUAAGCAACUGAGUAUGAAACCUGUGGAUCCUACUAUGCUCAGUCCACAUUAGACGAGAGCUUACCAAGGAGAGGUUGGCACUAGUAAAGGCUGGGAGAGAGGAUAGAGGGAAGUACCAAGCCAGAGCUGCAGUGAAACAGAGAAAGACUGGUGGCAUGAGCAAUCCGCAAAAGGUGCAAAAAAGAAGAUGCCUCUUGCUGCGAAACCAGCAAAGGUGGCUCGAUCCAGGGAGGAAAAGAAGCAAGAAAAGAGAAUAGGGAAGCAGUUCCGGGGAAGGAUAGCCUCGAAGUGAAGACUAUCAGAUUCUUCUCAUCCCCAUCAAAUGUUUUUUUUCCUUUUGUUGUUGUUGCUUAUUUGGUAGGCAAAUCAAAGGAAAAAAAGAAUUGUAACCUCAAAAAUUUCUUCCGUCUCCUUCCACUUUAUUAUGUAAUGAUUAUUUAAGUUGGCCGAGUAAAUUUUGAGUUGAUUUAUGUAUGAUUUUAUAUAGGUGACACUAUAUAUUCAACUUACAACUAAUUCUGAGGGUGAG